GCUGAAUCCCUGUGAAUGAAAGGGUAAGAGCUGCUAGUUUGUUUCUGCUCAUGAAUUAGCAGCCAGGUCAGGGUGAACAUCAGCGUGUAGGCUGCUAGCUUGGAGGCUGUCGUUUCUUGUAGUGACGCAGACUUGACACUAACAGCGGAAGCGAGGAGAAAUGCGUGAAAAAGCCGCCCAAUGGCAGGAAGAUGACCACCGUCUACAUCUGUUGUGCGGCAGUUGACAUGCUUUUGGAGCGAUGUGCUGAAGACUGACAAAAGCUCAGCCAGUGGUUACAGCAACUACAACAGGCUCUGUCCACUUUUGUUGUGGGUAUGCAUGUUCUUCCCUGUGUUGGUGUCGAAAUACUGCAAGUUUUCCAUGAACUGGCAAUAAAAAUCUUUAAAGUUUGGUGUA